GCCUUCUUAGGGUCAUAUCUGGAGAGUUUACAGUACUCUACCAGUCCCGACUAUGGGAGGGAAAGUCAAGCAGAGACAUACCCAUUCCAUUGCUAACUUGGCCAGUGGCUAGUGAGUGGAAGGCAAUCUACUACAAGU